rnacentral:rRNA from 1 species
CCUACGGGAGGCUGCAGUGGGGAAUAUUGGACAAUGGGGGAAACCCUGAUCCAGCGACGCCGCGUGAGUGAAGAAGUAUUUCGGUGCGUAAAGCUCUAUUAGCAGGAAAGAAAAUGACGGUACCUGACUAAGAAGCCACGGCUAACUACGUGACAGCAGCCGCGGUAAUACGUAGGGGGAACGCGUUAUCCGGAUUUACUGGGUGUAAAGGGGGCGUAGACGGCAGCGCAAGUCUGGAGUGAAAUGCCGGGGCUCAACCCCGGAACUGCUCUGGAAACUGUGAAGCUGGAGUGCAGGAGAGGUAGGCGGAAGUCCUGGUGUAGCGGUGAAAUGCGUAGAUAUCAGGAGGAACACCGGCGGCGAAGGCGGCUUACUGGACUGUAACUGACGUUGAGGCUCGAAGGCGUGGGGAGCAAACAGGAUUAGAUACCCCGGUAGUC